AUGAACGCUAGCGACAGGCUUAACACAUGCAAGUCGAGGGGCAGCGGGGGUAGCGAUACCCGCCGGCGACCGGCGCACGGGUGAGUAACGCGUAUGCAACUUGCCUAUCAGAGGGGGAUAACCCGGCGAAAGUCGGACUAAUACCGCAUGAAGCAGGGGCCCCGCAUGGGGAUAUUUGCUAAAGAUUCAUCGCUGAUAGAUAGGCAUGCGUUCCAUUAGGCAGUUGGCGGGGUAACGGCCCACCAAACCGACGAUGGAUAGGGGUUCUGAGAGGAAGGUCCCCCACAUUGGUACUGAGACACGGACCAAACUCCUACGGGAGGCAGCAGUGAGGAAUAUUGGUCAAUGGCCGAGAGGCUGAACCAGCCAAGUCGCGUGAGGGAUGAAGGUUCUAUGGAUCGUAAACCUCUUUUAUAAGGGAAUAAAGUGCGGGACGUGUCCCGUUUUGUAUGUACCUUAUGAAUAAGGAUCGGCUAACUCCGUGCCAGCAGCCGCGGUAAUACGGAGGAUCCGAGCGUUAUCCGGAUUUAUUGGGUUUAAAGGGUGCGUAGGCGGCCUUUUAAGUCAGCGGUGAAAGUCUGUGGCUCAACCAUAGAAUUGCCGUUGAAACUGGGGGGCUUGAGUAUGUUUGAGGCAGGCGGAAUGCGUGGUGUAGCGGUGAAAUGCAUAGAUAUCACGCAGAACCCCGAUUGCGAAGGCAGCCUGCCAAGCCAUUACUGACGCUGAUGCACGAAAGCGUGGGGAUCAAACAGGAUUAGAUACCCUGGUAGUCCACGCAGUAAACGAUGAUCACUAGCUGUUUGCGAUACACUGUAAGCGGCACAGCGAAAGCGUUAAGUGAUCCACCUGGGGAGUACGCCGGCAACGGUGAAACUCAAAGGAAUUGACGGGGGCCCGCACAAGCGGAGGAACAUGUGGUUUAAUUCGAUGAUACGCGAGGAACCUUACCCGGGUUUGAACGCAUUCGGACCGAGGUGGAAACACCUUUUCUAGCAAUAGCCGUUUGCGAGGUGCUGCAUGGUUGUCGUCAGCUCGUGCCGUGAGGUGUCGGCUUAAGUGCCAUAACGAGCGCAACCCUUGCCACUAGUUACUAACAGGUAAAGCUGAGGACUCUGGUGGGACUGCCAGCGUAAGCUGCGAGGAAGGCGGGGAUGACGUCAAAUCAGCACGGCCCUUACAUCCGGGGCGACACACGUGUUACAAUGGCGUGGACAAAGGGAAGCCACCUGGCGACAGGGAGCGAAUCCCCAAACCACGUCUCAGUUCGGAUCGGAGUCUGCAACCCGACUCCGUGAAGCUGGAUUCGCUAGUAAUCGCGCAUCAGCCAUGGCGCGGUGAAUACGUUCCCGGGCCUUGUACACACCGCCCGUCAAGCCAUGGGAGCCGGGGGUACCUGAAGUCCGUAACCGCGAGGAUCGGCCUAGGGUAAAACUGGAA
rnacentral:rRNA from 1 species